rnacentral:sRNA from 1 species
AGAAGAGGAGCGGCGAGUGCGGGAGACCGUGCGCAGGGAUAAAACGCUCCUGAAGGAGAAGAGGAAGCGACGCGAGGAGCUGUUCAUCGAACAGAAGAAAAGAAAACUCCUUCCAGACACUAUUUUGGAGAAGUUAACCACAGCUUCACAGACUAACAUCAAGAAAUCGCCAGGAAAGGUGAAAGAAGUUAAUUUGCAAAAGAAAAAUGAAGACUGUGAAAAAGGAAAUGACUCCAAGAAAGUUAAAGUACAAAAAGUACAGUCUGUCAGCCAGAAUAAAAGCUACUUGGCCGUAAGGCUAAAAGACCAAGAUCUGAGAGAUUCAAGGCAACAAGCAGCACAAGCCUUCAUACAUAAUUCAUUAUAUGGGCCAGGAACCAACAGGACUACUGGUAAUUUUUUUAUGGACUAUUUUUCUCACUUUUUACUGCAAAUAAAACUGUGAAAUGAUAAAUACCUUUCUUUUCUAGUAAAUAAGUUCCUGUCUCUUGCCAACAAGAGGUUACCAGUGAAAAGAGCUGCUGUCCAGUUUUUGAAUAAUGCUUGGGGAAUCCAGAAAAAACAAAAUGCCAAGAGGUUUAAAAGACGGUGGAUGGUCAGAAAGAUGAAAACUAAGAAGUAAAUCAAUGCUAAAUGAAGAAUCUGUACUUUUGUUCUUGCCACAGUCUCUCCUUAGCUGUUCACUCAUUGCUUGCAGCUCUCGUCCAAAGUGGAUCAUUCUUUCUAUGGCGGCCUGACUUCCUCCACACAACUGGCGUCUCAACUGACUUGAAUCAACUUCUGUAAGAAAAACAGACAAGUAUUUUACUACCUUAUGGAAUGGAGUAUAAUGAGGACACGAACAUACAUUUCUUACACCAUUUUGUACAUUUAGUAACUAUUCCCUAAUAUUUCAUCUAAAUAUGCAGAUUGUUAAAAAUUCAUUUUUAAUAUGAAACUGCAGCUAAAAGAUAUACUUUAUUUAGCUCUCAAGAGUCUAGGAUCCAGUAUUCAGCAUG